GUCUAUGGCUAUACCAUCCUGAACAUGCCCUAUCUCCUCUGAUUUCGGAAGCUAAACAAGGUCGCCUGAUUAAUAUUUACAUGAGAGAGACAUAGUCU
rnacentral:rRNA from 1 species